ensembl:lncRNA
CCUGUGUAUGUUUAACAGCUGUAAGCUAUGUAUAUAUUGAAACGCAGUUUAUAAUAAACUCAGAGUGGCCAUCAGCCCUCUCCGCAUCUAUCCUGGUGUGUACACUGGAUCGCGACAUCGACACAUGAUUAAGUUCCAUUUCCUUUCACUUAGCCCUCUGUGGAGAUGAAUAACAGCUGAUGUCUUGCCUCAGCCGCUAAACCUGCAUAACACCUGAAUACUAUUAUUUGAUCACUUCUUCAACAUAAGGGGGGGAACUCUCUGCCUGGCACUGUGCAGGACCUCGGGGCUGCGCAACAGGGAAGAAGACAGAUAUGGACAGUCUGUAUUCUCCUGGAGCCUAUAUGACAUUGGAGGAGACAAUGAUCAAGACAAUAAGCAAGAAAAUACAACAUUUGCAAGCUAGUAAUCCAUGUUUACAAUAAAACAAAUAGAGUCCUAGGAUACAAAUAAUUAGAGGGCUGUCUAGGGAGGUUCUAUUUUAGAUUAAGUGUCCAGAAAACUCCUCCCUGAGGAUGCUGAAUGGGAAGAUAAGAAGAAGGCAGCCUUCUGACGAGCUGAUUGAAGUGCAAAACUGAGUCAGGAAGCCUGGGACUGUUCAAUAAAUGGCAAAAAGCCAAUGUGUUUGGAGCACAGUUAGACAGGGAGAAUGGGUCCUAAGUAAGGUUUAAAAGUGGACAAGGUUACAAGGCAUAGAUUGUUGGUUUUGUUUUAAGGUUAAAGUGAAGGCAUCGAAUGACUACAUAAACACUGAAAUCAAAGAAGUAUCAUGAUUAGAUUUUCUUUUACAAAUCUUCACCCUGGUUAGAGAAUGUGUGGAGAAUGGACUAGAGGGCAUAGAAGUGGCAGUAGAGAAGCAGUCAGGAGCCUCCUGUGGUAUCUUGGUGAAAGAUAAUAGGAACUCAGCCCAGGGUGAAUAGCAGUGUGAUAGAUAAUAGUGUACACAUUUAAGAUAUAUUUUAGAGAAAAAUUCUCAGGUCCAGCUGAUAGAUUAAAUAUGAGGGGUUGGGAAAAGGGUAGAUUCAGGGAUGAUUACUAUCUUUCUGGCUGAGGCCACUAGAGAGAAAAAGUUGAUAUUAACUGAUGGAGAACUCUGGCAGAAGAACAUGCUUCCUCAGAAGUGUGUUCAAAAGUUCCAGUGUCACAAGGUUAAUAGUUGAGAUGCCUAAACAAUAUCCAAGUGCAGAUGUUCAGUAGGAAAUGAAAAAUUUUAAUAUGGAGAUCAGAUGAAUGGUCUGAAUUGGCAUCAUACAGUUGGGUUUCUUAGCAUGUGAAUGACAUUUUAAAGCACUGGAAUGAAUGAGGUACGGCUAAGAGAGAAUGUAGAUAAGAAAGGGAAGGGGACUCAGAUGCUACCACGUGGAGUUUAGUUUGGGGAAGAGGAGUCAACAAAGGAAACUAAGACAGGGGAAUCAGAGAAGGGAAGGACAGGAAUCAUGUCAGGUUGUGCUACAAUAACGACUGGUCUCAGAAUAUUAGUGCCUGAUAAAUCGAAGCAUUAUUUCUCACAUGACCUUUUCAAGUUGGCUCAAGGAUUACUCUAAAAGCAACCCUGACAGAACAGGCACCAUUUUAAAUAUCGCCUAUCUUUAUGGCAGAAGGAAAGAGAGUGUGAAGGGCUUUCAAGGGGAAAUUACAUGUUUGGGUCCAACAAUGAUAGAUGUCACUUCAACUCAAAUCUCACCAGCCAGACCUGGUUGCUUGGCCCCAAAUAGUCCAUAGAAGUCAGGAAGAACUAGCUUACCAUGUGCUGAAAUAUUUAGUGAACUGUAUCAAUAUUUAUAAGAGUCUGCUUUUCUGAUGACUCAUUCUUUCUAAAAUAAACCAUCAAUCCAAAGCCACAACCAAUCACAGCAUCAAGCUCAAAGUGCAGAUUUCUGGGUGUUGGAUGUCAGUUGUUAGGCUGCAUUAGCUGCAGAUGUAGAUCCUCCUCAUGUAGAGCUUGGUGGACCAAACACUCCCACUGGGCAGUGGUGGAAUACAGAGUAGAUAAUCUCACUAAAAAUGACAAUCUAUGGUUGGAAUGAAAGCCAUAGCAAUUCCUCUGCAGAUUUUGUGAUGGCUUUCCUUCCACUGGGAAGGAAAUCUUCCUGCCUGGGGUCUCUUCCUGCUCCCUGGGAGGGACUUCCCACUCCAAAGUUCCUCAAGGGCCUUGCCUUCCCAUUAUGGAAGGCUCUUCCUUCAUCAUCCUCUUUGGAUGCACCUGAAUGUAGCAUUGGGUAAUAUAUUCCCCUUGCAGGAAGAACAGACUCUUCCGUCUGCUUCUAACUCAUAGUAAUACGUGGGUCCAAGCAUUGUUUUAAGUCUUGAACAGUCACACACUUUUAAGUCUAGACUCGUAGUCUUUUUGACAGUACAACUGUCUCACAGACUUAACUUGUUUCUUAUCUAUUUUAUUUCAUUGAAAUCUAUGAACCAAUUUAUGUAAGACAUGCCCCACUUUUUCCAAUGGACCCAGGUAUUUUGAAUCUAUCAGGCUCCUUGGGGAGGGUCAAACCUUUAGUCUCUUUUUCUUGAGUAAUUUUGUUCAAAAAUGAUUUACAAGGACCAAUUUAGCCCUCAUUACACUAGGAAAAGCAGGCAUACCACUUGCCAUUGGGUUUAGUGGACAUUUUUAUAUUUUUACAUUUUUAAAAUAUCUUAAAAUUAUUUUACAAAUAAUUUACAGAAUUAAGAGUAAAGGGAUAGUGAAAAUAACUUUAUUAAAAAUUUUAAUAAGAAUUUAAACAUAGUAAACUCAUAUUUUUAUUCCAUAUUUACUGGUGGUGAACAUAUGUAUAACUGAAAUAGGCAAUCCCUUUGAAUGCAACUCACUGCUCCUCCAUUCGCAUAAAUGAACCUGUAGCUCAUCAAUCUUAUAAAUACUGAUUCCUGAUUUCAGGUAUUCAAAUAGAUCCUAGCUUACCAUUAAUUUUGGUUCUUCUUCAUGCUCUUAAUUAAUCAAAAUGCAAUGCUUUUGAUACUUUGAAAGUUCAUAAUUUUGUUCUAGAGAGAUUGUACAUCUUUUUUGGUUUAUAAUUGAAAAAUAUUUUCACUUUUAGGUUUAUAAAUGCCAUGUGAAAAGAUCAAUGCCUGUACUUUUAAAUUUAUAAAUAGUCAAUUUUUUUUUCCAAUCAACUUUUUAUACACAUCUGCUGUUUCAGUAAAGGUUUGACCAAAGAAAGAGAACCAGUGGGAGAUUCUGUAUAUGAGAGAGAGAGAUUUAUUGCAAGGAAUUGGCUUAUGCAAUUGUAGAAGCUGGCUUAGCAAGGCCAAAAUUUGUAAAGCCAGCCAUCAGGAAGGGCAGGCUGCAAAUGCAACUCCAGCUGGAGCUGAUGCUGUGGGAAUUUCUUCCUCUAGAAACCUCAGUUUUGCUCUUAAGGCCGCUCAACUAAUUGGAAGAGGCCAACCCAGAUUUCUGAGGAUAGUCUCUUUUACUUUGAGUCAACUAAUUGUGAAUGUAAAUCACACCUACAAAAUACCUUGCAGUAGUACCUAGAUUAGUGUUUGAUUGAAUAACUGCCUAGGCAAAUCAACACAUAAAAUGAACCAUCAUACUUGUUUUCAGCAUUUGUUCACUUAUGAAUCUUAAGUAAAUUUUGAUUCAUGAGCACCAUAAACAUCAAAGAAUACACUCACAGAUGAUAGUACAGAUUUGUGUCAGAAAGCAUCAUGUGAUAAAAUUAUUCCUGUUGAAUAACUAACUGGAUGAAGAUGUCAUAUAUCUCUUUCAUUUUUAUAAAUAUAUCAUUCACUCAUUGCUUCUUGAGUUUGAGAAAAUCCAUCUGGGAUAUUUUCAUCUGUUGACAUAUAGUAUGAGAUUUUACUUAUAUGAUUGAUCUUAUCAUCAUUAUUAAUAUCUGAAUUGCUGCUAUCUGUCUCUGUUCAGUCACAUUUUGAUUCAUAUUGUAACUGGGAAUAUCAUUCUCUGCCAUUUUGGUAUAAAGUUUUCUAAAAAUAGGAAUUUUCAGAUGUGUCCAAUGAAUGCUGUUAAAACAAGCCUACAAAGAUCAUGUUUCUAGACUUAUUUUAUAACUUCUUAAAAGAUGAUGAUGCAUUUUGUACAACCCAAUUAAAACACUGAAGGAUGAGGUAGUAUUGAUAAUUUAUUUUACCAUUGCAUCAUUCUAGGUGAUUCAGUUUUAUUUUUAAUUUUUUUGAAUAGUUGGUAAUAAUUCAUGAAUAAUGAUAAAAUAAUUUCUAGGAUGACGCAAAGCAAAAUAUCACUAAGAUCCUAUAAUUUACCUUAGAUUUAUAAAAGUGUCCAACGGACCCAUACUGAGGAUAAUUUCCUCUACUUAAAGUCAACUAAUUAUAGAUGUCAAUUACAUCUACAAAAUACUUUCAUGGUUCUUUUCUUUGAAACAUGAAAUGUUACAUUUUAUGUUAAAUAUAAAGAGAUUUUUUUGUCUUUUAGAAGAUCAUUAAAAAAGAAUAAAAGUCAUGAAAUAGCAAUUGUUACAAAGAGUUAAACCACUCAAAGAAGAAACUCAAAAUCUAAAUUUAAGUUCAAAGUAAGGUGUAGCAAGGGUUAAUCCAUUCAGGGAUUAUAACAAUUGGUGUAAUAUUCAAAUAUUCAAGAUCAAGGUUUGACCUGACCUUGACAUAGAACUGAGGGUUUUUUUUUUAAAUAUUUUUUUAGUAAUACAGCAAAGUGAACAAAUCCAUCUGUGCAGUUAGAUCAUUACAUGAUGAGCACACUGAGGCACCUACCACCCACAUUAACAAAGUGAACUUGACCGGCACCCCGGAAGCCUCUCUCUUGCUCCUUCCAGUCACUGACCCCUCUCAAGGUUUUAGAUUUCUGCUUCAGAAAUGAUGUCUCCUCUGGAACAGAGCAAUGACUUUAGAAGUGCCCUCAGUGCAUCCAGGGUCCUUCUGCAAACCCAUUCUUGGCACUGACCUAUGGUUCCCUGUCGGAAACAGGGAUCAAACCACCCUCAUACCCUAUCCUCAGUCAUCCCCAUUUCUUCCACUGUGAUCAGAGAAUGGGUCUGGAGGAAAGCAGGCUAUGGACAGGGUAUUGUCAUCCACACCACAGAAGAGGAGAAGAAGAUUGUUUGCAACUUGUUCUCUCAUCCUCCAUCCAACUAGUUUUGCUGAAAGAUUUUACUUAAGAAGGGGCCAUUACACCUUAUACAAAAUUUAACUCAAAAUAGAUUAUAAAUCUAAGUGUAAAAUGUAUAGCUAUAAAACUUUCAGAAUAAAACAUAGGAGAAAAUCCUCAUGAUUUAGAGUUCAGCAAAUAGUUCUUGGACAUGACAUCAAAAAUAUGAUCCAUGCGAGAAAAUAAACUAAAACCUUAUUUAGAUUUCACUAAUUGUCACUGGCAUUUCUGUGUAUAUGUGUGUUUGUAUGUAAUACUGUGAACUUUUAACAUGUGUAUAGUAACUAUCACCAGAACCAGGGUACAGAGCUAUGUCAUCACCACAAAGGAAAAUGAGUUGAUCCGUUUUAUAUUACUAUAAGUUUGUCAUAUUAAGAAUAUUAUAUAAAUGGAAUCAUAUAGCAUGUGAUAUUUUGAUAUUAGCUUUAUUUAAUAUGUGUCAUACAUUUGAAACUCAUCUAAGUUGUGAAUAUCAUUAGUUUGCUCUUUUUAUGUCUGAGUAGUAUUGUAUGGAUGUCCCACUGUUUAUCUUUUUGCCACUUGCAUGACAUUGGGUAGUAUGCAUUUUUUGGCAAUUACAAAUAAAGUUGCUAGAAACUUGUGUGUAGAGGUUUUUGUGUGCAUAUAUACAUUCAAAUACCCUGCACAGCAGAUCAAUAAUGACAUUUUAAAUAACAUUUUGUAUCAACAUCUUCAUUUUAAGGAAUUGUGUAUAAAUAAUGAACAUAAUACAAUUAACAAAAGGCAUAAAGAGAUGUUUUUAGUAAUAAUUUUCUGAAGUUUACUUAGAAACAGAUUGAGCAGUAAUUCUUGGGUGACUUUUAGUAAAUUUGGGUUCUCUAUUAGUAUCUUUUUAACUGUUCAGUGUAACUUUUCUCUUUAUAAAUACUUUUUUAAAAUAGUCAUAAUUUAGCUAAAACUUGAAUGAAAAGCUUAUACAGUAGUUUUGCUGGUUAGUCUACCUAUGUUUUAAAAUGUCCUUUAGUUUCUAG